rnacentral:rRNA from 1 species
AGCCAUGCAUGUCUAAGUAUAAGUAUUAUACAGCGAAACUGCGAAUGGCUCAUUAAAACAGUUAUGGUUUAUUUGAUAAUCGAAUUUUACAUGGAUAACCGUGGUAAUUCUAGAGCUAAUACAUGCUGGUGUGCCUGACUUUUCGGAAGGGCGGUAUUUAUUAGAUAACGAACCAAUAUUCCUCUGGUCUAUUGUGGUGAAUCAUAAUAACUGAUCGAAUCGCAAAGCCUUUGGCUGCGAUAUGUCAUUCAAGUUUCUGCCCCAUCAGCUUUCGAUGGUAGUGUAUUGGACUACCAUGGCUUUUACGGGUAACGGAGAAUUAGGGUUCGAUUCCGGAGAGGGAGCCUGAGAAACGGCUACCACAUCUAAGGAAGGCAGCAGGCGCGUAAAUUACCCAAUCCUGACUCAGGGAGGUAGUGACAAGAAAUAACGGACCGGCCUUUCGAGGCUCGGGAUUGCAAUGAGCCGAAUUUACACCCCUUAGCGAGGACCCAUUGGAGGGCAAGUCUGGUGCCAGCAGCCGCGGUAAUUCCAGCUCCAAUAGCGUAUAUUAAAGUUGUUGCAGUUAAAAAGCUCGUAGUUGGAUUUCUGGGGAGGUGCCAAUGUCACCUUAGUGUUGCGCAGCGGCGCCUCUCCAUCCUUCUGUUAACGCCGUCGGUCCUUAAUCGGUCUGCGGCGGGCUCAGAUAUUUUACCUUGAGAAAAUUAGAGUGUUUCAGGCAGGCCAGGCCGGAAUACAUUAGCAUGGAAUAAUGGAAUAGGACUUUAGUCUCUUUGUUGGUUUGGGGGACUGCAGUAAUGAUUAAUAGGGAUAGUUGGGGGCAUUACUACUU